UGGUCUGACUUGCAGGGAGCGGUGGCCUUGGCCAGGAGCGGUCCUGCCGGACUGUAAUUUUAAUUUCCUGCCCAGGCUGUAAUUUUAAUUUCCCUUGGAUGCUUGGCAAAGCCCUUCUGGGGGAGCCCUAGUGCCUGGCAUGAGCGGAGCGGGCUUCCAGGGAGGUAUUCACCUGGUCAGCGUCAGGAACCAUCCUCCCUGAAGCCUCGGUGAGUGUUUUUUGUGUGACUGGACAGUGAAGCUGUGUGAAUGACCUGGCUAGUGCUCGGUGUAGUCCUAAUUAAAGUGUCUUUUACUCUGUGUUCCCAGGCUCCCUCUUUCCCUUCGGUUGCCGUGGAUGUGCCGGACACCUCUGGCAGGACUAACCCUGUGGCUUUUAUGUCCAACGUGCUGUGUGCCUGCAGGUAAGAAAAGCUGGGAGUGCAGUCCCUCUGCUUUGCUUGCUGUGUCUCUUGGGUAGUGAUUUUGGAGGGGAAUCCCAGAGCGAUUUGGUGUGAAGGGGACCUUCAAAGGCCACCCUGUCUUCCGUGGGCAGGGACACCUUCCCCUCUCAUCCCCGGUUGCUCCAAGUCCCGUCCAGCCUGGCCUGGAACACUUGCAGGGAUCCAGGGGCAGCCUCAGCUUCCCUGUGCAGUGUGCUCUAAUAUCUCUCCACUGGCAUCCUGAAAAAUGUUGUCAGCGUGUUUUGUUGGACGACGGUAAGCGGGACCUGGGUGAAAAGGACAUUCUCUGAGGUGCUGGGAGAAGGAGGGCUCGUGCGGGCACCUCCAGAGACAGUGGGAACGGGAGCGUGCUGCAGAGAAGGAAAAUUCCAGGGGAAUUGCCACGAGAGGAAAUACUUCAGAGGGGCUUCCCUCCAGAUAAGCCCUGAAUGUGCCAGGAGGUUUCAGCCGGGAGAAAGGAGCUGUGGAAGAAAAGCAGCCUAAAAAUAGCCAGCGGGGAUCAUCAGGUUUUCCAGCCAAGAAAAACCAGGAGGGAGAUGAGGGAAUCGGGUUCCAAUUCCUAAAGAUUUGGUGGGUGUAGGAAUGAUUUCUGUGUGUUUUCCAGUCCCUUUUGAUUCCUGGGAUGAUUUUAAAAUGAUGGCUAAAUUGGAGAUGUUGUUUUUGAGAGGAAAUGAUGCCAAAUAAAUGCAAAGUUUGGGGUCAGUUUU